GAUGAACGCUGGCGGCGUGCUUAACACAUGCAAGUCGAACGGAAAGGCUCCUGCUUUCAGCGUUUCUCGAUUGGCGCAGGCGUGAGUAACACGCGGGGGUUCCGCCCUGCACUUCCUGAUAUGCCUGCGAAACUGGGUCUAUUACAGGAUAGGACAAUGGUAUGGAUGCCAUUGUGGAAAGAUAUUCGGUGUUGGAUGAGCUAGUGGCGUAUUCGCUUGUUGGUUGGGUAAUGGCUUACCAAGGCGACGACGGGUGGCCGGCCUGAGAGGGUGAACGCCCCCACUGGAACAGAGAAAGGGUCAAGACUACUACGGGAGGCAGGAGUAGGGAAGCUGAGGCAAGGGGCGAAAGCCUGACGGAGCAACGCCGCGUGAGUGAUGAAGGUCUUCGGAUCGUAAAACUCGGUUAUUAGGGAAGAAAAAAUGUGUAAGUAAAUAUGCACGUCUUGACGGUACCUAAUCAGAAAGCCACGGCUAACUACGUG
rnacentral:rRNA from 1 species